CGGCAUAGCAGAAGCUGUUUCUGGCUCCAUUGGUGUUGUGGUCCUCAUCUUGCUCCUAGUGGGUCUCUUGUCCCUGGCCCUGAAGAAAUGGAGGCAUGAGAGACUUUUUAAGAAACAACUGAGGCAUCAGACCAACUUUCUCCACAAAUCCUCGGAGCUUUCCUGCCAUGCUGAUGCCAUAUAUUCCAACGUGAUCCACCUGGCCCCCUGGAAAGAGGAGGACUUCGCUGUCUAUGCCAACAUGCCCCCUUUUGAUCGCUCCAGGAGGACAUCGCCAGACCAAGUGGAAUAUGCCUCCAUUGUAUUCAAAUGAUGGGAAGCCAAUGAGAUGCUUCAGCGUGGAGAGUCAGAUCUGUGCCCCAGCUGGAUCCUGAUACAGCUUUUGCAUUAGGUGUAUGUGUGUGCGUUGCGCGCUU